rnacentral:rRNA from 1 species
GACGAACGCUGGCGGCGUGCCUAAUACAUGCAAGUCGAACGCAGUGGGGACGGGUGAGUAACACGUGGGUAACCUCCCAUCAGAGGGGAUAACACUUGGAAACAGGUGCUAAACCGAUACUGAUGGAUGGACCCGCGGUGCAUUAGCUAGUUGGUGAGGUAACGGCUCACCAAGGCCACGAUGCAUCGCCGACCUAGGAGGGUAGUCGGUCACACUGGGAAGGAGCAAAGGCCCGGACCCCUACGUGAUGCAGCAGUAGGGAAUCUUCGGAAAUGGACGAAAGUCUGCCCGAGCAGCGCCGCGUGAGUGAAGAAGGUUUUCGGAUCGUAAAACUCUGUUGUUAGAGAAGCGGUAUCUAACCAGAAAGCCACGGCUAACUACGUGCCAGCAGCCGCGGUAAUUC